AACGCGAAGAACCUUACCCAGGCUUGACAUAUAGAGGACCGCUCUAGAGAUAGAGCUUCCCGCAAGGGCCUUUAUACAGGUGCUGCAUGGCUGUCGUCAGCUCGUGCCGUGAGGUGUUGGGUUAAGUCCCGCAACGAGCGCAACCCUUGUCGUUAGUUACCAACACGUAAUGGUGGGGACUCUAACGAGACUGCCUAGGUUAACUAGGAGGAAGGUGAGGAUGACGUCAAGUCCGCAUGGCCUUUAUGUCUGGGGCUACACACGUGCUACAAUGGUCGGUACAGAAGGCAGCAAAGCCGAAAGGUGAAGCAAAUCCCUAAAACCGAUCCCAGUUCGGAUAGAAGUCUGCAACUCGACUUCUUGAAGUUGGAAUUGCUAGUAAUGACGUGUCAACAAUAACGUCGUGAAUACUUUCCCGGGUCUUGUACACACCG
rnacentral:rRNA from 1 species